GAAAUAUAGGCUAUCUAUAAACCAUGGGCCUUCAAAGCCCAAACUGUGAACCACUCACUAUUUCUG
rnacentral:tRNA from 1 species